rnacentral:rRNA from 1 species
GAUGAACGUUGGCGGUGUGCCUAAUACAUGCAAGUCGAACGGAGUUAGUAGCAAUACUGGCUCAGUGGCGAACGGGUGAGUAACGCGUUGGUGAUCUGCCUUGAAGUGUGGAAUAACGUUUCGAAAGGAACGCUAAUACCGCAUGUGCUCUCGAUUUUCAGAAAGUUGAGAGUAAAGGAUUUAUUCGCUUCAAGAGGAGCCUGCGUCCCAUCAGCUGGUUGGUAGGGUAACGGCCUACCAAGGCUAUGACGGGUAGGGGACCUGAGAGGGUCGGCCCCCCCACAAUGGAACUGAAACACGGUCCAUACACCUACGGGUGGCAGCAGUAGGGAAUAUUAGAAAUGGACGAAAGUCUGAUCUAGCAACACCGCGUGUGCGAAGAAGGCCUUCGGGUCGUAAAGCACUUUUUUGGAAGGAAUAGGAAGGAAUGUACUUCCAGAAUAAGUCUCGGCUAACUACGUG